UACAGAGGUCUCAAGCGUUGUUCGGAUUCAUUGGGCGUAAAGGGUGCGUAGGCGGCGCGGUAAGUCGGGUGUGAAAUCUCGGAGCUUAACUCCGAAACUGUAUUCGAUACUGCCGUGCUUGAGGACUGGAGAGGAGACUGGAAUUUACGGUGUAGCGGUGAAAUGCGUAGAUAUCGUAAGGAAGACCAGUGGCGAAGGCGGGUCACUGGCCCGGUACUGACGCUGAGGUGCGAAAGCGUGGGGAGCAAACAGG
rnacentral:rRNA from 1 species